rnacentral:rRNA from 1 species
GAUGAACGCUGGCGGCAUGCCUAAUACAUGCAAGUCGAACGAGAGGAAGGAAAGCUUGCUUUCCUGAAUCUAGUGGCGAACGGGUGAGUAACACGUAGGUAACCUGCCCAUGUGCCCGGGAUAACUUCUGGAAACGGAUGCUAAAACCGGAUAGGUAGCAGACAAGCAUUUGACUGCUAUUAAAGUGGCCUUGGCCAUGAACAUGGAUGGACCUGCGGUGCAUGAGCUGGUUGGUGAGGUAACGGCCCACCAAGGCGACGAUGCAUAGCCGGCGUAAGAGGGCGGACGGCCACAUUGGGACUGAGACACGGCCCAAACUCCUACGGGAGGCAGCAGUAGGGAAUUUUCGUCAAUGGGGGGAACCCUGAACGAGCAAUGCCGCGUGAGUGAGGAAGGUCUUCGGAUCGUAAAGCUCUGUUGUAAGAGAAAAACGGCACUCAUAGGGAAUGAUGAGUGAGUGAUGGUAUCUUACCAGAAAGUCACGGCUAACUACGUGCCAGCCGCCGCCGUAACAC